rnacentral:rRNA from 1 species
UACGUAGGGUGCAAGCGUUAAUCGGAAUUACUGGGCGUAAAGCGUGCGCAGGCGGUUUUGUAAGUCUGUUGUGAAAUCCCCGGGCUCAACCUGGGAAUGGCAAUGGAGACUGCAAGGCUAGAGUUUGGCAGAGGGGGGUAGAAUUCCACGUGUAGCAGUGAAAUGCGUAGAUAUGUGGAGGAACACCGAUGGCGAAGGCAGGUCUCUGGGCUGACACUGACGCUCAUGCACGAAAGCGUGGGGAGCAAACAGG